rnacentral:rRNA from 1 species
UUAAGUUAUUAAGGGCGCACGGUGGAUGCCUUGGCACUAGAAGCCGAAGAAGGACGUUACUAACGACGAUAUGCUUUGGGUAGCUGUAAGUAAGCGUUGAUCCAGAGAUUUCCGAAUGGGGGAACCCAACAUGAGUUAUGUCAUGUUAUCGACAUGUGAAUUCAUAGCAUGUCAGAAGGCAGACCCGGAGAACUGAAACAUCUUAGUACCCGGAGGAAGAGAAAGAAAAAUCGAUUCCCUGAGUAGCGGCGAGCGAAACGGGAAGAGCCCAAACCAACAAGCUUGCUUGUUGGGGUUGUAGGACACUCUAUACGGAGUUACAAAAGAACAUGUUAGACGAAUCAUCUGGAAAGAUGAAUCAAAGAAGGUAAUAAUCCUGUAGUCGAAAACAUAUUCUCUCUUGAGUGGAUCCUGAGUACGACGGAGCACGUGAAAUUCCGUCGGAAUCUAGGAGGACCAUCUCCUAAGGCUAAAUACUCUCUAGUGACCGAUAGUGAACCAGUACCGUGAGGGAAAGGUGAAAAGUACCCCGGAAGGGGAGUGAAAGAGAACUUGAAACCGUGUGCUUACAAGUAGUCAGAGCCCGUUUAUGGGUGAUGGCGUGCCUUUUGUAGAAUGAACCGGCGAGUUACGAUCUGAUGCAAGGUUAAGCAGCGAAUGUGGAGCCGUAGCGAAAGCGAGUCUGAAUAGGGCGUUGAGUAUUUGGUCGUAGACCCGAAACCAGGUGAUCUACCCUUGGUCAGGUUGAAGUUCAGGUAACACUGAAUGGAGGACCGAACCGACUUACGUUGAAAAGUGAGCGGAUGAACUGAGGGUAGCGGAGAAAUUCCAAUCGAACUUGGAGAUAGCUGGUUCUCUCCGAAAUAGCUUUAGGGCUAGCCUCAAGUGAUGAUUAUUGGAGGUAGAGCACUGUUUGGACGAGGGGCCCCUCUCGGGUUACCGAAUUCAGACAAACUCCGAAUGCCAAUCAAUUUAACUUGGGAGUCAGAACAUGGGUGAUAAGGUCCGUGUUCGAAAGGGAAACAGCCCAGACCACCAGCUAAGGUCCCAAAAUAUAUGUUAAGUGGAAAAGGAUGUGGCGUUGCCCAGACAACUAGGAUGUUGGCUUAGAAGCAGCCAUCAUUUAAAGAGUGCGUAAUAGCUCACUAGUCGAGUGACACUGCGCCGAAAAUGUACCGGGGCUAAACAUAUUACCGAAGCUGUGGAUUGUCCUUCGGACAAUGGUAGGAGAGCGUUCUAAGGGCGUUGAAGCAUGAUCGCAAGGACAUGUGGAGCGCUUAGAAGUGAGAAUGCCGGUGUGAGUAGCGAAAGACGGGUGAGAAUCCCGUCCACCGAUUGACUAAGGUUUCCAGAGGAAGGCUCGUCCGCUCUGGGUUAGUCGGGUCCUAAGCUGAGGCCGACAGGCGUAGGCGAUGGAUAACAGGUUGAUAUUCCUGUACCACCUAGUAUCGUUUUAAUCGAUGGGGGGACGCAGUAGGAUAGGCGAAGCGUGCUGUUGGAGUGCACGUCCAAGCAGUAAGGCUGAGUGUUAGGCAAAUCCGGCACUCGUUAGGCUGAGCUGUGAUGGGGAGAGGAAAUUGUUUCCUUGAGUCGUUGAUUUCACACUGCCGAGAAAAGCCUCUAGAUAGAUAACAGGUGCCCGUACCGCAAACCGACACAGGUAGUCAAGAUGAGAAUUCUAAGGUGAGCGAGCGAACUCUCGUUAAGGAACUCGGCAAAAUGACCCCGUAACUUCGGGAGAAGGGGUGCUCUUUAGGGUUCACGCCCAGAAGAGCCGCAGUGAAUAGGCCCAAGCGACUGUUUAUCAAAAACACAGGUCUCUGCUAAACCGUAAGGUGAUGUAUAGGGGCUGACGCCUGCCCGGUGCUGGAAGGUUAAGAGGAGUGGUUAGCUUCUGCGAAGCCACGAAUCGAAGCCCCAGUAAACGGCGGCCGUAACUAUAACGGUCCUAAGGUAGCGAAAUUCCUUGUCGGGUAAGUUCCGACCCGCACGAAAGGCGUAACGAUUUGGGCACUGUCUCAACGAGAGACUCGGUGAAAUCAUAGUACCUGUGAAGAUGCAGGUUACCCGCGACAGGACGGAAAGACCCCGUGGAGCUUUACUGUAGCCUGAUAUUGAAAUUCGGCACAGCUUGUACAGGAUAGGUAGGAGCCAUUGAAACGUGAGCGCUAGCUUACGUGGAGGCGUUGGUGGGAUACUACCCUAGCUGUGUUGGCUUUCUAACCCGCACCACUUAUCGUGGUGGGAGACAGUGUCAGGCGGGCAGUUUGACUGGGGCGGUCGCCUCCUAAAAGGUAACGGAGGCGCUCAAAGGUUCCCUCAGAAUGGUUGGAAAUCAUUCACAGAGUGUAAAGGCAUAAGGGAGCUUGACUGCGAGACCUACAAGUCGAGCAGGGUCGAAAGACGGACUUAGUGAUCCGGUGGUUCCGCAUGGAAGGGCCAUCGCUCAACGGAUAAAAGCUACCCCGGGGAUAACAGGCUUAUCUCCCCCAAGAGUUCACAUCGACGGGGAGGUUUGGCACCUCGAUGUCGGCUCAUCGCAUCCUGGGGCUGUAGUCGGUCCCAAGGGUUGGGCUGUUCGCCCAUUAAAGCGGUACGCGAGCUGGGUUCAGAACGUCGUGAGACAGUUCGGUCCCUAUCCGUCGUGGGCGUAGGAAAUUUGAGAGGAGCUGUCCUUAGUACGAGAGGACCGGGAUGGACAUACCUCUGGUGUACCAGUUGUCGUGCCAACGGCAUAGCUGGGUAGCUAUGUAUGGACGGGAUAAGUGCUGAAAGCAUCUAAGCAUGAAGCCCCCCUCAAGAUGAGAUUUCCCAACUUCGGUUAUAAGAUCCCUCGAAGAUGACGAGGUUAAUAGGUUCGAGGUGGAAGCGUGGUGACACGUGGAGCUGACGAAUACUAAUCGAUCGAAGACUUAA